rnacentral:misc_RNA from 1 species
GAUGAAGAACGUAGCGAAAUGCGAUAAGUAAUGUGAAUUGCAGAAUUCAGUGAAUCAUCGAAUCUUUGAACGCACAUUGCGCCCGCCAGUAUUCUGGCGGGCAUGCCUGUUCGAGCGUCAUUUCAACCAUCAAGCCCCCGGCUUGUGUUGGGGACCUGCGGCUGCCGCAGGCCCUGAAAACCAGUGGCGGGCUCGCUAGUCACUCCGAGCGUAGUAAUACAUCUCGCUCAGGGCGUGCUGCGGGUUCCGGCCGUUAAACCACCUUCAUAACCCAAGGUUGACCUCGGAUCAGGUAGGAAGACCCGCUGAACUUAAGCAUAUCAAUAAGCGGAGGA